rnacentral:lncRNA from 1 species
AGCUCACCGGGGUGUUUUCCUUGUAGUGUCCACAAGGUGGCAGGCCAGGCACUUGAAUUUGAGCAGCGGAGGGCGCGCGCAGUCGGCGGUGGGCUGGACCGCCCAGGCACUUCGCUAAAGGCUGAGAUGGCCUCACAGGCUGCUCCCUCCACAGUGACAGGCAUCUAAGAAGGGCUUAACUAAAGGAGAACGAAGGAAAGAGAACAUGCUUUAGAUGGAGCCAGAGAUGUAAAAUCGGGAUCCAGUCCGCUGGGUUUUCUGUUUCCUUCUGAGGGUCUUCUCGCAUUCCAAGUGAAGCUCUGGUGGUAGCCAGGGCCCGAGACCAGUAAAGCUGAGACAUAUAGAGAUGGCUGGGAACAAAGAAGAACAGAGGCUCCCAAUAUUAGCCACCCAGUGGAAGUGACCACGGUUCCUAUUGACCUGCUCGGCAGAGGACCCCAACAGUUUUUGCCACUGAAGAAACCAACAGACCACCUGCAGAUUUCACUAGUUUUAAUCCCACAGGUAUUUGUAUUCACUAGAGCCAGCCUCCUGAGUCCCUCCCUAAUCCUACCUUUCCCAUAUUCACCACCCAUUCUCUGGAGCCUGGGAUCUGCACUGGCAGCCAGUCUCAGCCUCUAUGUUGCACAGAUGCAAGAUGCCAGCCUAGAUCUUGUGACUGACCUCACUGUUGUGUGUCUGUUUGAGGCUAGCCCCUCCAGCUGUGCACCUGCACGCCACUCGCCUGACUCCUGUCACGGGCCUCCACUGUUGUGUGUGCACCUG